rnacentral:misc_RNA from 1 species
AGCAGCCGCGGUAAUUCCAGCUCCAAUAGCGUAUAUUAAAGUUGUUGCAGUUAAAAAGCUCGUAGUUGAAUUUCGGGAUCAGUACGCCGGUCGUGCCUUCGGUAUGCACUGGUGUCACUGGUUUCUCCCUUCUGAAGAACCAUCAUGCCAUUCAGUUGGUGUGGCGGGGAAUCAGGACUGUUACUUUGAAAAAUUAGAGUGUUUAAAGCAGGCUCGCGCUUGAAUACAUUAGCAUGGAAUAAUGAAAUAGGACGUUUGACCCUAUUUUGUUGGUUUCUAGGAUCGACGUAAUGAUUAAUAGGGAUAGUUGGGGGCAUUAGUAUUCAAUUGUCAGAGGUGAAAUUCUUGGAUUUAUUGAAGACUAACUACUGCGAAAGCAUUUGCCAAGGAUGUUUUCAUUAAUCAAGAACGAAAGUUAGGGGAUCGAAGACGAUCAGAUACCGUCGUAGUCUUAACCAUAAACUAUAGCCGACUAGGGAUCGGAUGAUGUUAAUUUUAAUGUA